rnacentral:rRNA from 1 species
GACGAACGCUGGCGGCGUGCUUAACACAUGCAAGUCGAGCGGAAAGGCUCCUUUCGGGGGGUACUCGAGCGGCGAACGGGUGAGUAACACGUGAGUGAUCUGCCCUUCACUUUGGGAUAACUGCCUGAAAGGGUGGCUAAUACCGGAUAUUCCUGGCGUGCUGCAUGGUGUGUUGGGGAAAGAUUUUUUGGUGGGGGAUGUGCUCGCGGCCUAUCAGCUUGUUGGUGGGGUAAUGGCCUACCAAGGCUUUGACGGGUAGCCGGCCUGAGAGGGUGACCGGCCACACUGGGACUGAGACACGGCCCAGACUCCUACGGGAGGCAGCAGUGGGGAAUAUUGGACAAUGGGCGGAAGCCUGAUCCAGCAACGCCGCGUGAGGGAUGACGGCCUUCGGGUUGUAAACCUCUUUCAGCACAGACGAAGCUGACUCCACGUGUGGGGUGGGUGACGGUAUGUGCAGAAGAAGCACCGGCCAACUACGUGCCAGCCGCCGCGGUAAAAC